GGAAGUAAAAUCGUAACAAGGUUUCCGUAGGUGAACCUGCGGAAGGAUCAUUAUUGAAUGAAACACUUCUGGCUUUAUGCUGUUGUGCUGGCCCUUUGGGCAAUGUGCACACGGCUCUGGUCACUUGUUUCUUCUGUUCCACCUGUGCACUGCCUGUAGACACGCUGUGUCUAUGAUAUUUGUUAACACACAACAAUGUUAGUUGGCAUGUUAUAUAUAAUAAUAAAAUAUACAACUUUCAACAACGGAUCUCUUGGCUCUC
rnacentral:misc_RNA from 1 species